UACGUAGGGGCCAAGCGUUGUCCGGAAUCAUUGGGCGUAAAGAGCUCGUAGGCGGUUCGGUAAGUCGGGUGUGAAAUCUCCACGCUCAACGUGGAGGGGCCACUCGAUACUGCCGUGACUAGAGUCCAGUAGGGGAGUGUGGAAUUCCCGGUGUAGCGGUGAAAUGCGCAGAUAUCGGGAGGAACACCAGCGGCGAAGGCGGCACUCUGGGCUGGUACUGACGCUGAGGAGCGAAAGCGUGGGGAGCGAACAGG
rnacentral:rRNA from 1 species